AACUUCAAAUAACGUCCCACUUUUAGUACCAUGUGAUUUAAAGUGUAUCAAUUUGAUAUUUUAUAAUUUUAUUUUUCUUCUUUCGUUAGCUCCUUCAUUAAUAUUUCGCUAAAUUAUUAUAUCCAAAAAUCUUCAGAUUCCCCACUUAGAUGUAUCGAAUAUUCACUUUUGUAUCUGAAAUAACGAAAAGAAUUAGCGUAGUAAAUAAUAAAAAAAAAAAAAGAAAUCACAAGGUACUAAAUCGAUACAUUUUAAACUAUAUGGCACUAAAAUAAAAAAAAAAAAGUAAAUUAU
rnacentral:lncRNA from 1 species